AUUGAACGCUGGCGGCAUGCUUUACACAUGCAAGUCGAACGGUAACAGGGUGCUUGCACCGCUGACGAGUGGCGAACGGGUGAGUAAUGCGUCGGAACGUGCCGAGUAGUGGGGGAUAACGCAGCGAAAGUUGUGCUAAUACCGCAUACGUACUGAGGUAGAAAGUGGGGGACCUUCGGGCCUCACGCUAUUCGAGCGGCCGACGUCUGAUUAGCUAGUAGGUGAGGUAAAGGCUCACCUAGGCGACGAUCAGUAGUGGGUCUGAGAGGAUGAUCCGCCACACUGGGACUGAGACACGGCCCAGACUCCUACGGGAGGCAGCAGUGGGGGAAUUUUGGACAAUGGGCGAAAGCCUGAUCCAGCCAUGCCGCGUGUCUGAAGAAGGCCUUCGGGUUGUAAAGGACUUUUGUCAGGGAGGAAAUCCCUAGUGCUAAUAACACUGGGGGAUGACAGUACCUGAAGAAUAAGCACCGGCUAACUACGUGCCAGCCGCCGCGGUAA
rnacentral:rRNA from 1 species